ensembl:lncRNA
UAGAAAUACUGUAAUCUAGUAUUCCAAAUUUUGUUGUAAUAAUGAUUUUAUUAAUUUUAUGGCCCCUGUGUGUUUUCUAGGGAGUCAAGCCUGGUCCUGUCAAUAGAAUGCUGGUUCUGUCUGCAAGACCAAAAGAGAGGAAGCUUGCUGAGGGGUUAAGCAGUACGCUUUACAAGGGUGUCACCAGUGAGCUGCCUGACCUCUCAGUCCUCCAAGUAGCAGAGGCAUAUAAGGACUUUUCCAGUGCUGUAGCCCCUUUGGUCACCACUAUCGAGAUGUCGCAUGAUGAUCCUUUGGUUGAUUCUGCCUUGCCACUAGUUGGUAACAGCCUUGACACAUCUGUUUGCCUGUUUGUCCAUAGUGAACAUGGACAACUACACAUGAAGUCACUGGCAGUAAGUUUGGAUAUGGCACACAAGAUAGAGCAUGCCACCAGCCCCGGGUAACAGCGUCACGUUUUAGGGAGGUUUGUCAUGUGCGUGGCCAGAGCUCAGCUGAACACCUGGCUGAAAGAAUCUACAAGGGAACUCGUCAGACAGCAGACAUGAAGAGAGGUCUUGAAAUGGAAUCUGCAGCAAUUGAGGAAUACUGUCUGUUGCGAGAAGUAAACUACCACCCUUGUGGAUUCUUAAUUCACCCCAAUGCACCUUGGCUGGGGGCCUCUCCUGAUGGGAUUAUUUUUGACCCUAAAGAGCACCAUGUUUUUGGUCUUUAGAAAUCAUAUGUCCAAAUGUCAAAAGUUACGUGGACUGUCCUUACCUUAAAUUUAACAAUGGCACACCAGAGCUGAAACAACAACAUGCAUACUAUUGGCAAGUUCAAGGACAAAUGCUGAUCUCAGGAUUGG